rnacentral:rRNA from 1 species
GACGAGCGCUGGCGGCGUGCUUAACACAUGCAAGUCGAACGGAAAGGCCCUGCUUGCAGGGUACUCGAGUGGCGAACGGGUGAGUAACACGUGGGUGAUCUGCCCUGCACUUCGGGAUAAGCUUGGGAAACUGGGUCUAAUACCGGAUAGGAACCAUCUUUAGUGUGGUGGUUGGAAAGUUUUUUCGGUGUAGGAUGAGCUCGCGGCCUAUCAGCUUGUUGGUGGGGUAAUGGCCUACCAAGGCGGCGACGGGUAGCCGGCCUGAGAGGGUGUACGGCCACAUUGGGACUGAGAUACGGCCCAGACUCCUACGGGAGGCAGCAGUGGGGAAUAUUGCACAAUGGGCGCAAGCCUGAUGCAGCGACGCCGCGUGGGGGAUGAAGGCCUUCGGGUUGUAAACUCCUUUCGCUAGGGACGAAGCUUUGUUGUGACGGUACCUAGAGAAGAAGCACCGGCUAACUACGUG